GCUGUCCAGCAAAUACUACUCAGAAUCUAAAGUUUUAAAGCUAAAACUCAUCCUUGAAAUUUUUGUGAAGAAGACCUAGUGGUAUAGAAAUUACUGAAGAGGCUAAUUGUAUUAAUUGUAAUGGAAACUGAUCUUUUACUGGAAGUGAGUAAGAUUCCUGCAGAUGUACAGGCUAAAGGAUAUUGGCGUAGUCCUCAUGCAUCCUCAGGCUCUUGUCCCAGUACUUUAGUACAGGGUAUUUAGCCAAAAAAUCACAAAG
rnacentral:lncRNA from 1 species